ACAAGAGGCUAUGCGGCAUAGACUAACCUAGAAGAAAGGGAAGCCUGAUGGUGACUAGAUGGCGAUGGACAACCCAGUAACUUUAUGGCCUUUUCCUCAACCCGUUAUACCCUGUUUUCCCACUCCCGAAACAGAGCAAACCAUAAACUCAAACCUGUUAGAGCACUCGCAUCCCAUUCUGCAUCCGCCCCUCAUCCCUAUAAUUUAGGGAAACUUUUAAGGUUUUCGUGAAAAACCUCCCCCCAUCCCAAUCUCUAAAAUGGGGAUGAAGUAUAGGGGUGCUACAGAAGUUCCCCAUAUAUGGGGAUCGACUGUACAUCCCCAUCGCUCCUGCCCCAACGAUUCUCUCCUUCGUCCCGCGUCUUCUUCUCCCUUCCUUCCCUCGCAACGCAGCACCAACGAGCACCUCUCUUCGCCUAAAAGUGAUUCUCAAUUCUUUUCCAUCAUUUAUGUUUCUCUCUUCUCAGAUCGAUAGUCUGUGAUUGUAAAUCUCAAUACAAUAUUGGGGAGGGCGAAGAGGGAGUUGAUGUUGUCGGCACCAUGGAGGGGCAAAGAGGAGGCUGUCGAGGAGUUUCAGGAUGUAAAGCUCAAAGUCACAAAGUAGCCUGGAGUCGAAUAGGUGAUGCACGUCCCUCGAAGAAAGAACGACAAGUCCAAACGCCACGACCUCAAAGAUGAUGAUUCGGGAUUCCCUUGUCAAGAUUGACCCCCAGCUCUGUUACAUCUUUCAGCUUUCUUCAACGGGUAUUCAGCAUUGACACUGUUGUGAAACCUCUUCCACCUACCAUGGCCUAUAAUAUCUCCCGCAACUUGAGCUUCUUCACACCCAUUUUCAUGCAGUUCUUUGAUCCAGAAGGCAUUGAAAAGGCCCAGAAAUCACUUGGGAUGGGACAGGAAGAAAAAGCUCGCUGUGUUCAAUGAAAAGGGAGGGGAGUCAAGCAAGGCAGUUGAGGGCAUGUGGUUUAACUCAUGGUUUCUGACAGUGUCAAGAACUGUUUUACAAAUAAAAAUGGAUGAUGCGAUUUUACGGGACGAAUUGUUAUUUGAUAAUCAUAGACUAGAAAAUUUUGAUUUGUUAUGUGGUAAUGAUGUAGUGGAAUAGUUGAUUAUGUGAUUUCAUAUGAGCCAAGGCUUAACGAUUUGUUUUCCUUUUGUGUUCUGUUUUGUUGCGGAUGAAAUGUAUAUAGAUGAAAAUAUACUGUUUGGUUUCGGAUGAAA